UACAAAGUAAUGAUCGGAUUGAAUGUAA
rnacentral:sRNA from 1 species